rnacentral:rRNA from 1 species
CGUUUAGGGGUAAACCUGAGAAACCCGAAAGGUCGAAGGGAGAAAUUCAUUCGUGUCACGAGGUCGGCGCUAGUCGGUGUCCGUGCGACGGAAAACUCGUUCUCGGGUUUUGCGCGCCCACCGUUUAGCGAACCGACCGCGAACGCGUGCACUUUUCUCCUGGUAGGACGUCGCGAUCCGUCGGGCGUCGGUCUACGGUUCGCGGUGGAGCCCGUUCGUCUUCCUCGUGUCGUUCGAACGGACCCGCGUUACCUGGCCGACUCGCUCGACGGUAUACAAACGGUUCGAGACCGCUCUCAGGAGCGUUCGGCUCGCGACAAGCGCGUCAGACGCGUCGAAGAUCGGACCUGGUCCGAUCCCGACCUCUGGCGACUGUUGGUCGCGUAGUUCUCGAACAGAUCUCGUUAACCGAUUUGCGACGCUAUAGCUUUGGGUACUUUCAGGACCCGUCUUGAAACACGGACCAAGGAGUCUAGCAUGUGCGCGAGUCAUUGGGAUUUAAACUAAACCUAAAGGCGAAAUGAAAGUGAAGGUUUUCCUUGCGAAGACCGAGGGAAGACGGGCGCCGAUAAAACGGCGCCUCGCACUCCCGGGGCGUCUCGUUCUCAUCGCGAGAAGAGGCGCACCAAGAGCGUACACG